UACGGGGGGAGCAAGCGUUGUUCGGAUUUACUGGGCGUAAAGGGCGCGUAGGCGGCGUGACAAGUCACUUGUGAAAUCUCCGGGCUUAACUCGGAACGGUCAAGUGAUACUGUCGGACUAGAGUACAGAAGGGGCAACUGGAAUUCUCGGUGUAGCGGUGAAAUGCGUAGAUAUCGGGAGGAACACCAGUGGCGAAGGCGACUACCUGGCCUGUUCUUGACGCUGAGGCGCGAAAGCUAGGGGAGCAAACGGGG
rnacentral:rRNA from 1 species